rnacentral:rRNA from 1 species
AGUGAACGCUGGCGGUAGGCCUAACACAUGCAAGUCGAACGGCAGCACAGUAAGAGCUUGCUCUUACGGGUGGCGAGUGGCGGACGGGUGAGGAAUACAUCGGAAUCUACUUUUUCGUGGGUGAUAACGUAGGGAAACUUACGCUAAUACCGCAUACGACCUACGGGUGAAAGCAGGGGAUCUUCGGACCUUGCGCGAUUGAAUGAGCCGAUGUCGGAUUAGCUAGUUGGCGGGGUAAGGGCCCACCAAGGCAACGAUCCGUAGCUGGUCUGAGAGGAUGAUCAGCCACACUGGAACUGAGACACGGUCCAGACUCCUACGGGAGGCAGCAGUGGGGAAUAUUGGACAAUGGGCGCAAGCCUGAUCCAGCCAUACCGCGUGGGUGAAGAAGGCCUUCGGGUUGUAAAGCCCUGUUGUUGGGAAAGAAAAGCAGCAGGUUAAUACCCCGCUGUUCUGACGGUACCCAAAGAAUAAGCACCGGCUAACUUCGUG